rnacentral:rRNA from 1 species
GGGUUGUGAGGUUAAGCGACUAAGCGUACACGGUGGAUGCCCUGGCAGUCAGAGGCGAUGAAGGACGUGCUAAUCUGCGAUAAGCGUCGGUAAGGUGAUAUGAACCGUUAUAACCGGCGAUUUCCGAAUGGGGAAACCCAGUGUGAUUCGUCACACUAUCAUUAACUGAAUCCAUAGGUUAAUGAGGCGAACCGGGGGAACUGAAACAUCUAAGUACCCCGAGGAAAAGAAAUCAACCGAGAUUCCCCCAGUAGCGGCGAGCGAACGGGGAGCAGCCCAGAGCCUGAAUCAGUGUGUGUGUUAGUGGAAGCGUCUGGAAAGGCGCGCGAUACAGGGUGACAGCCCCGUACACAAAAAUGCACAUGCUGUGAGCUCGAUGAGUAGGGCGGGACACGUGGUAUCCUGUCUGAAUAUGGGGGGACCAUCCUCCAAGGCUAAAUACUCCUGACUGACCGAUAGUGAACCAGUACCGUGAGGGAAAGGCGAAAAGAACCCCGGCGAGGGGAGUGAAAAAGAACCUGAAACCGUGUACGUACAAGCAGUGGGAGCACGCUUAGGCGUGUGACUGCGUACCUUUUGUAUAAUGGGUCAGCGACUUAUAUUCUGUAGCAAGGUUAACCGAAUAGGGGAGCCGAAGGGAAACCGAGUCUUAACUGGGCGUUAAGUUGCAGGGUAUAGACCCGAAACCCGGUGAUCUAGCCAUGGGCAGGUUGAAGGUUGGGUAACACUAACUGGAGGACCGAACCGACUAAUGUUGAAAAAUUAGCGGAUGACUUGUGGCUGGGGGUGAAAGGCCAAUCAAACCGGGAGAUAGCUGGUUCUCCCCGAAAGCUAUUUAGGUAGCGCCUCGUGAAUUCAUCUCCGGGGGUAGAGCACUGUUUCGGCAAGGGGGUCAUCCCGACUUACCAACCCGAUGCAAACUGCGAAUACCGGAGAAUGUUAUCACGGGAGACACACGGCGGGUGCUAACGUCCGUCGUGAAGAGGGAAACAACCCAGACCGCCAGCUAAGGUCCCAAAGUCAUGGUUAAGUGGGAAACGAUGUGGGAAGGCCCAGACAGCCAGGAUGUUGGCUUAGAAGCAGCCAUCAUUUAAAGAAAGCGUAAUAGCUCACUGGUCGAGUCGGCCUGCGCGGAAGAUGUAACGGGGCUAAACCAUGCACCGAAGCUGCGGCAGCGACGCUUAUGCGUUGUUGGGUAGGGGAGCGUUCUGUAAGCCUGCGAAGGUGUGCUGUGAGGCAUGCUGGAGGUAUCAGAAGUGCGAAUGCUGACAUAAGUAACGAUAAAGCGGGUGAAAAGCCCGCUCGCCGGAAGACCAAGGGUUCCUGUCCAACGUUAAUCGGGGCAGGGUGAGUCGACCCCUAAGGCGAGGCCGAAAGGCGUAGUCGAUGGGAAACAGGUUAAUAUUCCUGUACUUGGUGUUACUGCGAAGGGGGGACGGAGAAGGCUAUGUUGGCCGGGCGACGGUUGUCCCGGUUUAAGCGUGUAGGCUGGUUUUCCAGGCAAAUCCGGAAAAUCAAGGCUGAGGCGUGAUGACGAGGCACUACGGUGCUGAAGCAACAAAUGCCCUGCUUCCAGGAAAAGCCUCUAAGCAUCAGGUAACAUCAAAUCGUACCCCAAACCGACACAGGUGGUCAGGUAGAGAAUACCAAGGCGCUUGAGAGAACUCGGGUGAAGGAACUAGGCAAAAUGGUGCCGUAACUUCGGGAGAAGGCACGCUGAUAUGUAGGUGAAGCGACUUGCUCGUGGAGCUGAAAUCAGUCGAAGAUACCAGCUGGCUGCAACUGUUUAUUAAAAACACAGCACUGUGCAAACACGAAAGUGGACGUAUACGGUGUGACGCCUGCCCGGUGCCGGAAGGUUAAUUGAUGGGGUUAGCGCAAGCGAAGCUCUUGAUCGAAGCCCCGGUAAACGGCGGCCGUAACUAUAACGGUCCUAAGGUAGCGAAAUUCCUUGUCGGGUAAGUUCCGACCUGCACGAAUGGCGUAAUGAUGGCCAGGCUGUCUCCACCCGAGACUCAGUGAAAUUGAACUCGCUGUGAAGAUGCAGUGUACCCGCGGCAAGACGGAAAGACCCCGUGAACCUUUACUAUAGCUUGACACUGAACAUUGAGCCUUGAUGUGUAGGAUAGGUGGGAGGCUUUGAAGUGUGGACGCCAGUCUGCAUGGAGCCGACCUUGAAAUACCACCCUUUAAUGUUUGAUGUUCUAACGUUGACCCGUGAUCCGGGUUGCGGACAGUGUCUGGUGGGUAGUUUGACUGGGGCGGUCUCCUCCUAAAGAGUAACGGAGGAGCACGAAGGUUGGCUAAUCCUGGUCGGACAUCAGGAGGUUAGUGCAAUGGCAUAAGCCAGCUUGACUGCGAGCGUGACGGCGCGAGCAGGUGCGAAAGCAGGUCAUAGUGAUCCGGUGGUUCUGAAUGGAAGGGCCAUCGCUCAACGGAUAAAAGGUACUCCGGGGAUAACAGGCUGAUACCGCCCAAGAGUUCAUAUCGACGGCGGUGUUUGGCACCUCGAUGUCGGCUCAUCACAUCCUGGGGCUGAAGUAGGUCCCAAGGGUAUGGCUGUUCGCCAUUUAAAGUGGUACGCGAGCUGGGUUUAGAACGUCGUGAGACAGUUCGGUCCCUA